GGAACCAUCCCCCAUGUCCCCUUUUUGCUGAGAACUUUCCUUUUGCUUAAUAAAUUCUACUCCACUAACUCCCCAGUGUCGAGGCACCUAAUUCUUCCUAGUUGUGAGACAAGAACUCGGAUCUAGCUGAUCUAAGGAGCAGAAAAACCACAACAUUUUGGUGGCUUGUACAGGGAUACCUGGAGGGCAGAUGAAGCACCAAACCUCGGGUGAGCCAAUUAAGAACAAAUGGCGCAGUUACAGAAGACAGGAUGCAACCCUGCCACCUAUCUCUCUCUUUCAGAUGGUAAUCGUGUACCCAUACCACAGGACACUCCCCUUGGGUGCAUCUGCCAAACUGGGAAAAGUGUCCGUGUGCCUAAUUCUUCCUGGUUGUGUGACAAGACCUCGGACUGAGCUGAGCUAAGGAGCAGAAAAACUGCAACAAUAUGAGGGAAAAGACAGAAGGCAGACUGUGACAAAUGAAUUUAACUGUACUACAGAUGAAUUAGAUAACCACAAUGAAGAAGAUGGAAAGAAAGUUGAUGAUCUCCAUAACUUUAGAAAAUGCUUUGGCUUAAUAAUGCAAGGCUAAGGACAAAAAAGACCUCAGUGGACUUGUUCCAAGGAAAAGGAAAGAGGGAUGGAGCAUGGUUUUAUGGCAGCCUUUCCCCAGAAUGAAAUAUACUUUGAGCACAUGAGCUCAUGAGCAGGAGAAAACUGAUCGGAAGGACAUGAUGGCCAUACAAACCUUGUCCUGUAUAUUUUCUAAAAUUAUAUAUCCAUGUUCAGCUGAAAAUUCAAUUUCGAAUACUGGGUUUGGUGCUGCAGUUUUUCAGUUAUUUAAUUGUAUGGAAUAUUUAAAUAUUCCUUAAAUUUGCUGGUGUCAUUGCAUACUAAUUGCACUCUAUUGUGUAAAUUCUAAUUUUAAAAUUUGACUAGAUUUUUUAGUGAGGCUUUGCUAUUGUCAAAGAUGCUAAAGUGAUUAUAUGCCUGGUGUCUCAUCUGUGAUGACAGCUGCUCUAUAGCCCUGCCAUCUAGUAGGCAAUGAUACCUUUAGGUUAUAUUAUGCUUACUCUGAUAAUCUUAAUUUACAUGAAUUAAAAAUCAAUUUGCCUCCAAACUCUAAAACAAUGAACUAGGACACAUUUUUCCCAUUGUAUGCAGUUACUCCAUGUGCUUAGGGAAAUGUAGUACAGUCAGCACUUCAUAUCUAUGGGUUCCUCAUCCAUGGAUACAACCAAUCAUGGAUUGAAAAUAUUUGAAAACAAAAAAAAUUAAAAAUAAGAAUAUAACAAUAAACAAUACAAAUUAAAAACAAUACAGUAUGACAAUUAUUUACAUAGCAUAUAAAUUCUUACAUAUAAUUAGGAAUUAUAAGAAACAUAGAGAUGAUUUAAAGUAUACUGAAGGAUAUGCAUAGGUUAUAUGUAAAUACUAUGCCAUUUUAUAUAAGGGACUUGAGUUUCCACAAAUUUUGAAUGCUGAGGGGUGACUAUAUUCUCAAGAAAGGCUAAAUUAUAUAUUCUUUAGUGCCAGGGUACUUUAUAGUUACGGCAUAUAGUGAUUUGCUCCACCUAUUUGCCAAUUCCCAAAUCUAACUCUGCUCUCCCCAUUAAGUUCGAGAAUAGAGCUCUAUCAGCUCUUUAUAAAACUUGUCCAGCCUUCCUUCCACAUAGUUAUAAAGAAUAAAGGAUGAUUUCUGACACAAAGGCUAGGGAAAUAUCUAAGUGCUUCUUCUUGAUCAGUAUUUCUUACACAGUCAAGGAUAUUUGGUUGGAUUAUUCCCUCUGAUAUGUCCUUUUUCUCAAUCUGAAUGAAAAUUCCAGUUUAAAGUGAUUUCUCUUGUUGGAAAACUGUACUCCUCUGCCAAAUUUUUGUCCUAUCCUCAAACUCCUACUUUGUGUUAAAGUACAUUUUCAUCAUGUCUUGGUCUCUUUAUGUCCUAUGAAGAGGCUUUUUUGCUCGUGAAUGUUUUUGCAUGGUGGUGUUAUUGUUACUGUUAUCGUGUUUUCCUUUGUGUGUGUUAAAUUCUUUGGUUCAAUGAAUAAGGAUUUACAGAUUAAGAAUUCCUGAGUAUGUUGAAUCCCAUAUGCAAACUUGGUUGCCUUUUUGAAAUGGCAUUUUAUUAAGCUAAUAGUAAGAUCAAGCUAUAACUGUAGGAUUUGCAACAGAAUCCCUACAGAGGCAUAUUUUUUUUUUUUUGAGACAGAGUCUCACUCUGUUGCCCAGACUGGAGUGUUGCGGUGCAAUCUCGGCUCACUGCAGCCUCCGCCUCCCAGGUUCAAGUAAUUCUCCUGCCUCAGCCUCCUGAGUAACUGGGACUACAGGCAUGAGCUACCAUGCCGGGCUAAUUUUUUUUAUUUUUAGUAGAGAUGGGGUUUCACCAUGUUGGCCAGGAUGGUCUCUAUCUCCUGACCUCAUGAUCUGCCCGCCUCAGCCUCCCAAAGUGCUGGGAUUACAGGCGUGAGCCACCACAUUCCAUUUUAUAUAUUUGGGAUGGAACAAUGUGUUACUACUAUUUGAUCUAGAGUCAGUGUUUAAUGGAGUUCCAGGAGUUCUGUUCCUACAGAGCCAUCCAAGGGCUGAAGGAUCACUGUCUUAUAUCACAUCCCUUCCCUACACAGCUGUAACCCUACCACAGCACACCUUCUCUGAUGCUCUGCUCCUGUAUCCCUAUUAGUUAAUUUUCAAACACUCAUGGAGGUUAGAUAUUACUAUUUUCCCUGUUAAACAUCUCAGGUUCACUUCAGAGGCAGGAAACAGCCCCAAUGAAUCAGAGCAGGAAAUCUUUUUGGAGCAAGUCUUGCAGACUCACUGCUGCAAUGUGGAGAGAUCUCAGGAGGCUCUAGAUGAGGUGUGAGUGGCUGUGGUAGGAAAGAGGAUCCCACUGAGUGGUUUUAGGUGAGAACUACCAAUGAAUGAGGAAGUAUUAAUAUAUCAUAUUUCAUUCAAUCUCAAAAGGCAUCAAUCGUAGAAUGAAUCAUUAUUUUGCUUACUCCUGGUAAAAUGUCACCAACUACAUUGUCACAGUUUUUCUCAUCACUGAGAAUUGUUAGGUUAUUCCAUUGAAAGAACUGCUUUCAGACAUUGAAAUAUAUAUUUCUAUCAUGUAUCAUUUUUGUGCAUAUACAGAAUAAGAAAAUUAAUUGGUUAAGGUAUUUCUAAAAUUUCUUUACAUUAAGAAUCUCAGUCUUCUGAAUCACUUUUCAACAUAGUCAUUAAUUUCUGUAUUUUUCCAUACAACAUUAUUAUCUAUCAUCAAGACAUAGCUAAUAUAAUGUUUUCUAAAAGAGUGCUUCACUAUUAACUCUGGUAUUUUUUUCCCAAGGCAAUAUUCUGCCAGCUUUUUCUCAAGAUGCAUAGAAACGUGAAGCAAGUGACAGCCACAUCACCAAUUUUAUCCAUAAUUACAAAAUGCAGCCCUAUUUCAGUGAUGUUCAAAGGGGACAGGUAGAAUGGCAGUUAUGAAAGCCAGAGGAAAUCAAGAUAUUUGGCUUCUAUGUGAUCUUAGGUAUAUAUAAUUUAUUACCUACUAUCAGUUGAUUGCCUGCAUAAUAUCCAUUCUUUCUUUUUCCUUAUUAAGAUAAAACUUGGGUGAUUUGCCCACCUCAAAAAGUACAUUUAUUCAUCUUCUUUGUAGGGAAAUAGAGUAAUAUAAAAGCAGAAGUUCUUGGGCAGAUCCUGUUUUGCAAUUAAAAUGGCUGGUGUUCCUGCAGCCAUCUUGCACAACAAGGAAGACUUGAGCAUGGCAGCUCUCAUGCUCAGGAUGUUGAAGCAGAAAGACUGAAAGAGUCUGUGAAACUGUCAUUCUAAAUCUGUACUGCCUACCUCCAGACUUCUUUAACUCUAGUAGGUCACUGCAAUUUCCAGACUAUGAGUUAGCAGCCAAACACUGUUCCUAACUUUCUUAAAAGAUAAUAUUGACACUUAGUGAGUACAGUAUGAUUAUAGCCUAGUCAUAAAAUGCUUCCAUUACCUUAUUUUAAACAUUAGUCAUAAAUGCUAACUGAUAUCCAAGGCUUGAUUAAGAAGUAACUGUGUACACAGUUUCCUUCAUUCUCCAAAUAGCUUUGGAGCAGCAACGCAUUAGGGCUUAGAAAUCAGCAGUAUAUAUUUCAAAACAUUUAUAUUGAGCUAACCUACUAAACAAUGUUUGAUUAACCAUGACGGAUAAAUCAAUAACUUUUUUAAAUGCAAUUUGAAACUUACAUGUUUAAUUUAAUUACGUGGUAAAAUAAGUGCAGUAGAGUUAUCUAGAAUUUUCCUCUUUUCAAUAAAAAAUGCAUAUUUGAGUGAUUUUUUUUAUCAUAAUACACAUUGUGUAUUUUCUUUUUUUUUUACUUUGGAGAAAGUUAUAAGAUUAUCUCAUCAAUAAAAUCUUUUUUGUUCUUGAUUAAAUAAGUGUUUAUUAAGAACCUCCACACAGACAAAAGAUGUAAAAGGCCUGAUCCUAGACUGAGGGAAUUCAUGAUAUUGUCUCCAAAUUGUGUGAGAAAAGUGCAUAAGAUCUUUUCUAAUUAUGUUAUACUUUUGUUAAUGCUGUCAACUUUUUUUCUAAGAAAUGCCAUUAUAGAUUGUGUCUAUUACUUUCUACCUGUAAAAAAUUUGUGAAAAUUGAAAACAUGAGCUGAUAUUUUGGUGCUGUAGGCAAUGCAUCAACUAGAAUCUUAGCUUUCACUAGACACUAGUCAAAAGCACUAUUGGCUGGGAUUUUCUUUUUAGGAUUGAAAACAAAAAUGUGAACACCAACUCCUUUCUCCUACUUCAAUUCAAAACUUUGCCUAGAAUUGAGUCUAUUAAAAAGUGAGAGAGUAGUUUUGAAUAAAUAGUCAAGAAUUAUUUAUUUUUGAGAUCUUAUUGGGAAUAAGUAACUUUUAAACUUUUGGCAUAAAAGACAAGACAGUAUUUCUUUCUAGCACAUCCAGACAUCUAAAUCAAUACAUCACAUUUUUCUUGUUUUAAAAAUAUAGUCCAAAAUAACACAUGCAUUAGUGUUUUAUACUUCCUCUCUUGAAAAAAAAUUCAAGAUGUUAAGGUCAAAAUCAUCUUCCAAAAUGUAUCAGUUUGUUAUUUCUACAACAGAAAAUGGUCUUUGGAUUGGUGUGACAUCUGUCCUUUAAGUUUGCAGUAAUUUUAGUCUUCUACAAUAAGCACACCAUCACUUUGCGUUAGAAAAAUUUUCAAUUUCAGGUGAUCAGGGUGAUUGAAUCGUCUGGAUUGAAUAGGUUACCUAUUGUCAAAAAUGAUAGACUGGAUUAAGAAAAUGUGGCCCAUAUACACCAUGGAAUACUAUGCAGCCAUAAAAAGGAUGAGUUCAUGUCCUUUGUAGGGACAUGGAUGAUGCUGGAAACCAUCAUUCUCAGCAAACUAUUGCAAGGACAAAAAACCAAACACUGCAUGUUCUCACUCAUAGGUGGGAAUUGAACAAUGAAAACACAUGGACACAGGAAAGG
rnacentral:lncRNA from 1 species